rnacentral:rRNA from 1 species
AUUGAACGCUGGCGGCAUGCCAUACACAUGCAAGUCGAACGGUAACGGGCCUUCGGGUGCCGACGAGUGGCGAACGGGUGAGUAAUGUAUCGGAACGUACCUUUCAGUGGGGGAUAACGUAGCGAAAGUUACGCUAAUACCGCAUAUUCUGUGCGCAGGAAAGCAGGGGAUCGCAAGACCUUGCGCUGAUUGAGCGGCCGAUAUAAGAUUAGCUAGUUGGUGAGGUGAAGGCUCACCAAGGCGACGAUCUGUAGCGGGUCUGAGAGGAUGAUCCGCCACACUGGAACUGAGACACGGUCCAGACUCCUACGGGAGGCAGCAGUGGGGAAUUUUGGACAAUGGGGGCAACCCUGAUCCAGCCAUGCCGCGUGAGUGAAGAAGGCCUUCGGGUUGUAAAGCUCUUUCGGCCGGGAAGAAAUCGUAUCAGCUAAUACCUGGUGCGGAUGACGGUACCGGCAUAAGAAGCACCGGCUAACUACGUGCCAGCCGCCGCAGUAAUAC